GAUGAACGCUGGCGGCGUGCCUAAUACAUGCAAGUCGAGCGAACAGACGAGGAGCUUGCUCCUCUGACGUUAGCGGCGGACGGGUGAGUAACACGUGGAUAACCCACCUAUAAGACUGGGAUAACUUCGGGAAACCGGAGCUAAUACCGGAUAAUAUAUUGAACCGCAUGGUUCAAUAGUGAAAGACGGUUUUGCUGUCACUUAUAGAUGGAUCCGCGCCGCAUUAGCUAGUUGGUAAGGUAACGGCUUACCAAGGCAACAGUGCGUAGCCGACCUGAGAGGGGGUAGGGCCCCAGAGAAGGUGACACGCGGCACAGGCACUGAGGGAAGGCAGAGGUAGGGAAGCUACGGAGCAGGGGGAAAGCCUGCCGAAGGAGCGCAGGGUGGAUGAUGAAGGGCUUCGUGUGGUAAAACGCUGUUAUUGGGGAAAAACAAUUGUGUAAGUAACUAUGCGCGUCUGACGGGAACCGAUAAAGAAGGCCCGGGUAAACAACGG
rnacentral:rRNA from 1 species